CCUGCUGGUCAGACAACAGAAAACAUCAAAUACAAAUCUUCCAAAUGGAUCUUGUGAAUGCCAUCUCAAAGCACAUUACGCAGUUUAAAAAUGCAAUUUCAUAAGCUUUAGUUUAAAACAGAAACUUGAUAAGUAAUGCUUGAAAAGUACUGAUUACCUUUGACAUCAAGUUACUACACGCAUUGAGAAAACAGGUACCAAACAUUCACUUGCUGUCAGAAAAAGUGAUGAGAAUAAACAAAAAUUCCAUUUUGUGAUACACUGUAUUGGAAAAUUAGAAAUGUGUUAUUACUACAUCCAGUGACACAUAAACUAAUGAUUGAAACUGGAUCUUGGUGGGAACACUAUAGAAGAAAAGAUGCAUACAGAUGUCUCCAUUUGUCACAACCAUGACAGGAAGAACUGAAGGCUUGUUGUGAGGGUUUUUCGUUGCUCCAGACUUAUAUCUGGAUAUGAUCUUCCUCAUUAUGAGUUGAAUAACAUAUCUAUCUUCUGUAGCAUUUCUGGCUAUAUAAUAUAUUGCUGCCCUAUCUGAUCUAGAAUUCCUUCUUUAUGGAUUUCUCCCUUGAAAAUGAAUACAUAUUUUGUCCAAGUAAGCAA
rnacentral:lncRNA from 1 species